rnacentral:rRNA from 1 species
GGGUUGUGAGGUUAAGCGACUAAGCGUACACGGUGGAUGCCCUGGCAGUCAGAGGCGAUGAAGGACGUGCUAAUCUGCGAUAAGCGUCGGUAAGGUGAUAUGAACCGUUAUAACCGGCGAUUUCCGAAUGGGGAAACCCAGUGUGAUUCGUCACACUAUCAUUAACUGAAUCCAUAGGUUAAUGAGGCGAACCGGGGGAACUGAAACAUCUAAGUACCCGAGGAAAAGAAAUCAACCGAGAUUCCCCAGUAGCGGCGAGCGAACGGGGAGCAGCCCAGAGCCUGAAUCAGUAUGUGUGUUAGUGGAAGCGUCUGGAAAGGCGCGCGAUACAGGGUGACAGCCCCGUACACAAAAAUGCACAUGCUGUGAGCUCGAUGAGUAGGGCGGGACACGUGGUAUCCUGUCUGAAUAUGGGGGACCAUCCUCCAAGGCUAAAUACUCCUGACUGACCGAUAGUGAACCAGUACCGUGAGGGAAAGGCGAAAAGAACCCCGGCGAGGGGAGUGAAAAAGAACCUGAAACCGUGUACGUACAAGCAGUGGGAGCACAGAGCAAUCUGUGUGACUGCGUACCUUUUGUAUAAUGGGUCAGCGACUUAUAUUCUGUAGCAAGGUUAACCGAAUAGGGGAGUCGAAGGGAAACCGAGUCUUAACUGGGCGUUAAGUUGCAGGGUAUAGACCCGAAACCCGGUGAUCUAGCCAUGGGCAGGUUGAAGGUUGGGUAACACUAACUGGAGGACCGAACCGACUAAUGUUGAAAAAUUAGCGGAUGACUUGUGGCUGGGGGUGAAAGGCCAAUCAAACCGGGAGAUAGCUGGUUCUCCCCGAAAGCUAUUUAGGUAGCGCCUCGUGAAUUCAUCUCCGGGGGUAGAGCACUGUUUCGGCAAGGGGGUCAUCCCGACUUACCAACCCGAUGCAAACUGCGAAUACCGGAGAAUGUUAUCACGGGAGACACACGGCGGGUGCUAACGUCCGUCGUGAAGAGGGAAACAACCCAGACCGCCAGCUAAGGUCCCAAAGUCAUGGUUAAGUGGGAAACGAUGUGGGAAGGCCCAGACAGCCAGGAUGUUGGCUUAGAAGCAGCCAUCAUUUAAAGAAAGCGUAAUAGCUCACUGGUCGAGUCGGCCUGCGCGGAAGAUGUAACGGGGCUAAACCAUGCACCGAAGCUGCGGCAGCGACGCUUAUGCGUUGUUGGGUAGGGGAGCGUUCUGUAAGCCUGUGAAGGUGUGCUGUGAGGCAUGCUGGAGGUAUCAGAAGUGCGAAUGCUGACAUAAGUAACGAUAAAGCGGGUGAAAAGCCCGCUCGCCGGAAGACCAAGGGUUCCUGUCCAACGUUAAUCGGGGCAGGGUGAGUCGACCCUAAGGCGAGGCCGAAAGGCGUAGUCGAUGGGAAACAGGUUAAUAUUCCUGUACUUGGUGUUACUGCGAAGGGGGACGGAGAAGGCUAUGUUGGCCGGGCGACGGUUGUCCCGGUUUAAGCGUGUAGGCUGGUUUUCCAGGCAAAUCCGGAAAAUCAAGGCUGAGGCGUGAUGACGAGGCACUACGGUGCUGAAGCAACAAAUGCCCUGCUUCCAGGAAAAGCCUCUAAGCAUCAGGUAACAUCAAAUCGUACCCCAAACCGACACAGGUGGUCAGGUAGAGAAUACCAAGGCGCUUGAGAGAACUCGGGUGAAGGAACUAGGCAAAAUGGUGCCGUAACUUCGGGAGAAGGCACGCUGAUAUGUAGGUGAAGUCCCUCGCGGAUGGAGCUGAAAUCAGUCGAAGAUACCAGCUGGCUGCAACUGUUUAUUAAAAACACAGCACUGUGCAAACACGAAAGUGGACGUAUACGGUGUGACGCCUGCCCGGUGCCGGAAGGUUAAUUGAUGGGGUUAGCGCAAGCGAAGCUCUUGAUCGAAGCCCCGGUAAACGGCGGCCGUAACUAUAACGGUCCUAAGGUAGCGAAAUUCCUUGUCGGGUAAGUUCCGACCUGCACGAAUGGCGUAAUGAUGGCCAGGCUGUCUCCACCCGAGACUCAGUGAAAUUGAACUCGCUGUGAAGAUGCAGUGUACCCGCGGCAAGACGGAAAGACCCCGUGAACCUUUACUAUAGCUUGACACUGAACAUUGAGCCUUGAUGUGUAGGAUAGGUGGGAGGCUUUGAAGUGUGGACGCCAGUCUGCAUGGAGCCGACCUUGAAAUACCACCCUUUAAUGUUUGAUGUUCUAACGUUGACCCGUAAUCCGGGUUGCGGACAGUGUCUGGUGGGUAGUUUGACUGGGGCGGUCUCCUCCUAAAGAGUAACGGAGGAGCACGAAGGUUGGCUAAUCCUGGUCGGACAUCAGGAGGUUAGUGCAAUGGCAUAAGCCAGCUUGACUGCGAGCGUGACGGCGCGAGCAGGUGCGAAAGCAGGUCAUAGUGAUCCGGUGGUUCUGAAUGGAAGGGCCAUCGCUCAACGGAUAAAAGGUACUCCGGGGAUAACAGGCUGAUACCGCCCAAGAGUUCAUAUCGACGGCGGUGUUUGGCACCUCGAUGUCGGCUCAUCACAUCCUGGGGCUGAAGUAGGUCCCAAGGGUAUGGCUGUUCGCCAUUUAAAGUGGUACGCGAGCUGGGUUUAGAACGUCGUGAGACAGUUCGGUCCCUAUCUGCCGUGGGCGCUGGAGAACUGAGGGGGGCUGCUCCUAGUACGAGAGGACCGGAGUGGACGCAUCACUGGUGUUCGGGUUGUCAUGCCAAUGGCACUGCCCGGUAGCUAAAUGCGGAAGAGAUAAGUGCUGAAAGCAUCUAAGCACGAAACUUGCCCCGAGAUGAGUUCUCCCUGACUCCUUGAGAGUCCUGAAGGAACGUUGAAGACGACGACGUUGAUAGGCCGGGUGUGUAAGCGCAGCGAUGCGUUGAGCUAACCGGUACUAAUGAACCGUGAGGCUUAACCUUACAACGCCGAAGCUGUU